AGCGAACGCUGGCGGCAUGCCUAACACAUGCAAGUCGAACGAACUCUUCGGAGCUAGUGGCGGACGGGUGAGUAACACGUGGGAACGUGCCCUUUGGUUCGGAAUAACUCAGGGAAACUUGUGCUAAUACCGAAUGUGCUCUUCGGGGGAAAGAUUUAUCGCCAUUGGAGCGGGCCGCGUCGGAUUAGCUAGUUGGUGAGGUAACGGCUCACCAAGGCGACGAUCAUUAGCUGGUCUGAGAGGAUGACCAGCCACACUGGGACUGAGACACGGACCAGACUCGUACGGGAGGCAGCAGUGGGGAAUCUUGCGCAAUGGGCGAAAGCCUGACGCAGCCAUGCCGCGUGAAUGAUGAAGGUCUUAGGAUUGUAAAUUUCUUUCACCAGGGACGAUAAUGACGGUACCCGGAGAAGAAGCCCCGGCUAACUACGUG
rnacentral:rRNA from 1 species